UACGUAGGGGGCAAGCGUUAUCCGGAUUUACUGGGUGUAAAGGGAGCGUAGACGGUACGCCAAGUCUGAAGUGAAAUGCCGCAGCUUAACUGCGGAACUGCUUUGGAAACUGGCGGGCUAGAGUGCGGGAGGGGUAAGCGGAAUUCCUAGUGUAGCGGUGAAAUGCGUAGAUAUCAGGAGGAAUACCGUUAGCGAAGGCGGCAAUCUGGCUGGAAACUGACGCUGAGGUGCGAAAGCGUGGGUAGCAAACAGG
rnacentral:rRNA from 1 species